CUCAUGAUGAACGCUAGCUACAGGCUUAACACAUGCAAGUCGAGGGGCAGCAUUUUAGUUUGCUUGCAAACUGAAGAUGGCGACCGGCGCACGGGUGAGUAACACGUAUCCAACCUGCCGAUAACUCCGGGAUAGCCUUUCGAAAGAAAGAUUAAUACCGGAUAGCAUACGAAUAUCGCAUGAUAUUUUUAUUAAAGAAUUUCGGUUAUCGAUGGGGAUGCGUUCCAUUAGUUUGUUGGCGGGGUAACGGCCCACCAAGACUACGAUGGAUAGGGGUUCUGAGAGGAAGGUCCCCCACAUUGGAACUGAGACACGGUCCAAACUCCUACGGGAGGCAGCAGUGAGGAAUAUUGGUCAAUGGGCGCGAGCCUGAACCAGCCAAGUAGCGUGAAGGAUGAAGGCUCUAUGGGUCGUAAACUUCUUUUAUAUGGGAAUAAAGUUUUCCACGUGUGGAAUUUUGUAUGUACCAUAUGAAUAAGGAUCGGCUAACUCCGUGCCAGCAGCCGCGGUAAUACGGAGGAUCCGAGCGUUAUCCGGAUUUAUUGGGUUUAAAGGGAGCGUAGGUGGAUUGUUAAGUCAGUUGUGAAAGUUUGCGGCUCAACCGUAAAAUUGCAGUUGAAACUGGCAGUCUUGAGUACAGUAGAGGUGGGCGGAAUUCGUGGUGUAGCGGUGAAAUGCUUAGAUAUCACGAAGAACUCCGAUUGCGAAGGCAGCUCACUAGACUGUCACUGACACUGAUGCUCGAAAGUGUGGGUAUCAAACAGGAUUAGAUACCCUGGUAGUCCACACAGUAAACGAUGAAUACUCGCUGUUUGCGAUAUACAGUAAGCGGCCAAGCGAAAGCAUUAAGUAUUCCACCUGGGGAGUACGCCGGCAACGGUGAAACUCAAAGGAAUUGACGGGGGCCCGCACAAGCGGAGGAACAUGUGGUUUAAUUCGAUGAUACGCGAGGAACCUUACCCGGGCUUAAAUUGCAACAGAAUAUAUUGGAAACAGUAUAGCCGUAAGGCUGUUGUGAAGGUGCUGCAUGGUUGUCGUCAGCUCGUGCCGUGAGGUGUCGGCUUAAGUGCCAUAACGAGCGCAACCCUUAUCUUUAGUUACUAACAGGUUAUGCUGAGGACUCUAGAGAGACUGCCGUCGUAAGAUGUGAGGAAGGUGGGGAUGACGUCAAAUCAGCACGGCCCUUACGUCCGGGGCUACACACGUGUUACAAUGGGGGGUACAGAAGGCGGCUACCUGGUGACAGGAUGCUAAUCCCAAAAACCUCUCUCAGUUCGGAUCGAAGUCUGCAACCCGACUUCGUGAAGCUGGAUUCGCUAGUAAUCGCGCAUCAGCCAUGGCGCGGUGAAUACGUUCCCGGGCCUUGUACACACCGCCCGUCAAGCCAUGAAAGCCGGGGGUACCUGAAGUACGUAACCGCAAGGAGCGUCCUAGGGUAAAACUGG
rnacentral:rRNA from 1 species